AUUGAACGCUGGCGGCAGGCCUAACACGUGCAAGUCGAACGGUAACAGGAAGCAGCUUGCUGCUUCGCUGACGAGUGGCGGACGGGUGAGUAAUGUCUGGGAAACUGCCUGAUGGAGGGGGAUAACUACUGGAAACGGUAGCUAAUACCGCAUAAUGUCGCAAGACCAAAGAGGGGGACCUUCGGGCCUCUUGCCAUCGGAUGUGCCCAGAUGGGAUUAGCUAGUAGGUGAGGUAACGGCUCACCUAGGCGACGAUCCCUAGCUGGUCUGAGAGGAUGACCAGCCACACUGGAACUGAGACACGGUCCAGACUCCUACGGGAGGCAGCAGUGGGGAAUAUUGCACAAUGGGCGCAAGCCUGAUGCAGCCAUGCCGCGUGUAUGAAGAAGGCCUUCGGGUUGUAAAGUACUUUCAGCGGGGAGGAAGGCGAUAAGGUUAAUAACCUUGUCGAUUGACGUUACCCGCAGAAGAAGCACCGGCUAACUCCGUGCCAGCAGCCGCGGUAAUACGGAGGGUGCAAGCGUUAAUCGGAAUUACUGGGCGUAAAGCGCACGCAGGCGGUCUGUCAAGUCGGAUGUGAAAUCCCCGGGCUCAACCUGGGAACUGCAUUCGAAACUGGCAGGUUAGAGUCUUGUAGAGGGGGGUAGAAUUCCAGGUGUAGCGGUGAAAUGCGUAGAGAUCUGGAGGAAUACCGGUGGCGAAGGCGGCCCCCUGGACAAAGACUGACGCUCACGUGCGAAAGCGUGGGGAGCAAACA
rnacentral:rRNA from 1 species